CAGGCUUAACACAUGCAAGUCGAGGGGCAUCAGGAAGAAAGCUUGCUUUCUUUGCUGGCGACCGGUGCACGGGUGAGUAACACGUAUCCAACCUGCCCUUUACUCGGGGAUAGCCUUUCGAAAGAAAGAUUAAUACCCGAUAGCAUAAUGAUUCCGCAUGGUUUCAUUAUUAAAGGAUUCCGGUAAAGGAUGGGGAUGCGUUCCAUUAGGUUGUUGGUGAGGUAACGGCCCACCAAGCCUUCGAUGGAUAGGGGUUCUGAGAGGAAGGUCCCCCACAUUGGAACUGAGACACGGUCCAAACUCCUACGGGAGGCAGCAGUGAGGAAUAUUGGUCAAUGGGCGCUAGCCUGAACCAGCCAAGUAGCGUGAAGGAUGAAGGCUCUAUGGGUCGUAAACUUCUUUUAUAUAAGAAUAAAGUGCAGUAUGUAUACUGUUUUGUAUGUAUUAUAUGAAUAAGGAUCGGCUAACUCCGUGCCAGCAGCCGCGGUAAUACGGAGGAUCCGAGCGUUAUCCGGAUUUAUUGGGUUUAAAGGGAGCGUAGGUGGACUGGUAAGUCAGUUGUGAAAGUUUGCGGCUCAACCGUAAAAUUGCAGUUGAUACUGUCAGUCUUGAGUACAGUAGAGGUGGGCGGAAUUCGUGGUGUAGCGGUGAAAUGCUUAGAUAUCACGAAGAACUCCGAUUGCGAAGGCAGCUCACUGGACUGCAACUGACACUGAUGCUCGAAAGUGUGGGUAUCAAACAGGAUUAGAUACCCUGGUAGUCCACACAGUAAACGAUGAAUACUCGCUGUUUGCGAUAUACAGUAAGCGGCCAAGCGAAAGCAUUAAGUAUUCCACCUGGGGAGUACGCCGGCAACGGUGAAACUCAAAGGAAUUGACGGGGGCCCGCACAAGCGGAGGAACAUGUGGUUUAAUUCGAUGAUACGCGAGGAACCUUACCCGGGCUUAAAUUGCAGUGGAAUGAUGUGGAAACAUGUCAGUGAGCAAUCACCGCUGUGAAGGUGCUGCAUGGUUGUCGUCAGCUCGUGCCGUGAGGUGUCGGCUUAAGUGCCAUAACGAGCGCAACCCUUAUCUUUAGUUACUAACAGGUUAUGCUGAGGACUCUAGAGAGACUGCCGUCGUAAGAUGUGAGGAAGGUGGGGAUGACGUCAAAUCAGCACGGCCCUUACGUCCGGGGCUACACACGUGUUACAAUGGGGGGGUACAGAAGGCAGCUAGCGGGUGACCGUAUGCUAAUCCCAAAAUCCUCUCUCAGUUCGGAUCGAAGUCUGCAACCCGACUUCGUGAAGCUGGAUUCGCUAGUAAUCGCGCAUCAGCCACGGCGCGGUGAAUACGUUCCCGGGCCUUGUACACACCGCCCGUCAAGCCAUGGGAGCCGGGGGUACCUGAAGUACGUAACCGCAAGGAUCGUCCUAGGGUAAAACUGGUGACUGGGGCUAAGUCAUAACA
rnacentral:rRNA from 1 species